AGCAGUCGCCGCGGUAAUACGGAGGGUGCGAGCGUUAAUCGGAAUUACUGGGCGUAAAGUGUACGCAGGCGGUUUGUUAAGUCAGAUGUGAAAUCCCCGAGCUUAACUCGGGAACUGCAUUUGAAACUGGCAGGCUAGAGUCUCGUAGAGGGGGGUAGAAUUCCAGGUGUAGCGGUGAAAUGCGUAGAGAUCUGGAGGAAUACCGGUGGCGAAGGCGGCCCCCUGGACGAAGACUGACGCUCAGGUACGAAAGCGUGGGGAGCAAACAGGAUUAGAUAUCCGUGUAGUCCCUGUCUCUUAUAC
rnacentral:rRNA from 1 species